GACAGUGAGAGACUGAGCUUGGGGUGU
rnacentral:piRNA from 1 species